ACCAUCCAGACUCCUUACCCCUCAGAUCUAAAUAUGGGUCCGAGUGGCUCAAAAAGGCAGUAAAGUAAAACUGAAGUGGACUUGGGAGCCUUCAGUGGCACACAAGUUCAUCUCAAACAAAC
rnacentral:snoRNA from 1 species